rnacentral:rRNA from 1 species
AAAUGGAAUGGCUCUCUUAGUUACGAUGUGCCCCGACCCGAGUCCCCACGUCCGCUUUUAUCCGCCCGCAACCCGGCCAACACAACAUUAGGGCCGUCCCCCCCCCCCCCAUUCUAUGCUGACCCGGGCCGGGGCUCGCUUUUUGGGAAGCCCGUUCCCACCGCGCUCACGGCCCGGCUGGCCUGCCAGCGGUAG